UGGUGGAGUGAUUUGUCAGGUUAAUUCCCUUAACGAACGAGACCUUAACCUGCUAAAUAGAAGGCUCUAAACUCUAGAGCUAUUCUUCUUAGAGGGACUACUGAGUCUAAAUCAGUGGAAGUUUGAGGCAAUAACA
rnacentral:rRNA from 1 species